UACAGAGGUCUCAAGCGUUGUUCGGAUUCAUUGGGCGUAAAGGGUGCGUAGGUGGCGGGGUAAGUCGGGUGUGAAAUCUCGGAGCUUAACUCCGAAACUGCAUUCGAUACUGCCGUGCUUGAGGACUGGAGAGGAGACUGGAAUUUACGGUGUAGCGGUGAAAUGCGUAGAUAUCGUAAGGAAGACCAGUGGCGAAGGCGGGUCUCUGGACAGUUCCUGACGCUGAGGCACGAAGGCCAGGGGAGCAAACGGG
rnacentral:rRNA from 1 species